GCGGGCGCUGGCGGAACCCGAGGAAUCCCGUUUCUGCGAGGCAAGCGCGGUGCCCCUUUAGGGCCCCCUAGAGGCCGAUCCGAGAAGUGAUCCGAGCCAGCGCCACAAACACUCCUCAGAGGCAGCUCGGUACCGCCCGGAUCCAUCUCGGAGGGGCUUCGGGGGUCACGAAUCGGGAUCCAUUUCCACCCAGCCCCACGUUGCCAUUUCCCCGUCGCUUCUGCGCUCAAGCAGUUCUAUCCUGCCCUUCUCCCAAGGAACAGAAAACAGCAUCGGGACCCAAAAUACUGGCUUUCCACAUGGUGCACCAAACAGAACAAUGGCAGGCUCCAUAGGUAACGUGUGACCAGUUCUAGCCUUGAGAUAAUGGAAUAUAUACUGCCGGAACUCCUGCAUGUUUGCACAGCCUCACUGCAGAGGGAAGGAAGAACCUUCGCCCCAUUUCCUCCAGUAAAAUGAUGAUUGCUCAACGGCAACGCUGGACCUCUCUGUUUGUCCUCAUGUUUUGUAUGGCUGUGUUAAUGAGCCAUGUUGUAAGUGCUUUACCAAAACAAAAGCUGCCCAAAUACCCUGGUCCUAAAGCAUCACUGAGAGAUCUGCGGACUUACUCCAUACAACUCAGCGUGUAUCUUAUGGAUCUUGAGCUUGAAAGUAUAAAGAAGUUGACGUUCGGACUUGUGAAGCUUUCUUAGGCUGUUGGUCCAUUAAGCAAGCUCCUGUGCUUAAUGGGCGGGACCAGAUGUGAUCAAUAUUAGUGCAGAAAGAACAAGCAGAAGAAUGAAGAGUGAUUUCUCCACGAUUCUCCUGUGAUUGUAUCUUCCCAGGAAGUCCUUGUGAAUUCCUCUGCCAAGGAGAUCAUAAAGGCCCCUUCGGCAGACUCUUGUCUUUUCUAUUGAUUAAUGAAUGUGAUCACUAUAAUAAAUCUACAUGAAGCUUGGAA